UUAUCGCCCNAAUCCCCUUGAGUUUGAUAUGGCUCAGCCUGAACGCUGGCGGCGUGGUUAAGACAUGCAAGUCGCACGGAUGGAGCAAUCCAUCAUUGGCGCACGGGUGAGUAAUGAAUCGCUAACGUGCCCCGGACUCUGGGAUAGCCAUCCGAAAGGGUGGGUAAUACCACUAUGACACCACAUGUGUCACAUGACCGUGUGCUCUAAGGUCCGCCGGUCUGGGAGCGGGCGAUUUCGUAUCACCUAGUUGGUGCGGGUAACGGCCCACCAAGGCUACGACGCGUAGCCUGACUGAGAGGUCGGUCGGCCACAUCGGGACUGAUACACUGCCCGGACUCCUACGGAGGGCUGCAGUAACGAAUCUUCGUCAAUGCACCAAAGUGUGAACGACCGACGCCACGUGGAGGAUGAAGUCCUUCGGGAUGUAAACUCCUGUCAGGGGUUACCAAGUUCUGAGGAGCCCCAGAGGAAGAGGCGGCUAACUCUGUGCCAGCAGCCGCGGUAAGACAGACGCCUCGAGCGUUAGGCGGAAUCACUGGGCUUAAAGCGUGUGUAGGCGGACCGUUAAGUACCUUGUGAAAUCCCACGGCUCAACCGUGGAACGGCUGGGUAUACUGGCGGUCUUGAGCCACCUAGGGGCGAGCGGAACAAACGGUGGAGCGGUGAAAUGCGUAGAUAUCGUUUGGAACGCCAAUGGUGAAGACAGCUCGCUUGGGGGUGUGCUGACUCUGAGACACNAAAGCCAGGGGAGCGAACGGGAUAGAUACCCC
rnacentral:rRNA from 1 species